CAAUAAUAAUAAUUAAAUGAACAUCACAGUAAUGGAACUGAAUAUUAUAACAUCUUAAAAUAUUAAACUGUAACAGAUUAUAAUGUGUGAACAUUUGAUCCCACAGUCUUUAACUUACAUAGAAACACACAAACACAUUAAGGAUGACUGUGGUGCACAAUAGGGUCAGACACACUGAGGUCACAUACACACACACACACACACGUUCAGCUGCUGUCUCUCAGGCUGUGGCAUGUCCACACGUAUCUCGCAGCCAGUGCUGCUGUGUGUCCCUCUCCUAAUAGUAUCUUAAUUUGUUCUGUUUCACUAAUAGCUGUAAAGUUCUUUAUUAAGUUGGUGAAUCUGUUGAAGUAGAGGUCUCUUAUGGACAUGUAUUUCUGACAGUGAAGGAGGAAGUGUGUCUCUGUCUCGAUCUCUCCUGUCUGACAGUGAACACACACUCUUUGCUCUCUGGGUAACCAGCUCUUUCUGUGUCUGCCCGUCUCGAUGGCUAGACUGUGUUCACUGAGCCUGUACUUGCUCAGGAUCCGUCUCUGCUUUGUGUCUCUGACACUCUGGAGAUAAUCUUCACAUUCAUAAUCUGAUUUUAGAGUUCGAUAGAAUUGUAAUUUACUUUGUGUUUUAGUUUCUUGAUCCCAAUGUUCCAGAUAUGUAUUUUUAGAUUGUUUGAUAAUUUGUUUUAUUUCGAUGUUUGGGUGAGAAGCAGUGCUGGUUUGAGACUGGUUAGUGUUAGUAGAGUUAGUCAGGUUAGUAAGUCUCAGAACUAGCUGACUGAGUGGACUCUUUUCAGGGUUCUGUUCUAGUCUGUCUGUCUAUCUAUCUAUCUGUCUGUCUAUGUGUUUGUCUAUCUGUCUGUCUCUCUGUCUGUCUGUCUAUCUAUCUAUCUAUCUGUGUGUUUGUCUAUCUGUCUGUCUGUCUGUCUAUCUGUCUGUUUUAAAUUGUAGUCCUUUUUUGCCAUUAUAGACAAAAUGUGGGCAUUAAUUGAAUGGACAGAAAUGGAAGCCUCUCUGGACAUUGUAAAGAGAAAAGACAUUCUUCAACUUGUAGUUCAUGAGGGGGAUGUUGUUGAUGUAAAGUAUGAGGAUAAAAGCUCUCCUGCACUUAUUCUCAAUGCAUGCAUGAAAAUAAAGACAAGCUGCUGAAGCGUCUAAAUCGGAUGGAGUCAGAGAGAAGGCAAAAAGAGGAGUGCAAGCUGCCUGAAAAGAGAGCAAUAAAAAGGAAAAUAAUAUUCA
ensembl:lncRNA